rnacentral:rRNA from 1 species
UGCAGUCGAGCGACUGAUUAGAAGCUUGCUUCUAUGACGUUAGCGGCGGACGGGUGAGUAACACGUGGGCAACCUGCCUGUAAGACUGGGAUAACUUCGGGAAACCGAAGCUAAUACCGGAUAGGAUCUUCUCCUUCAUGGGAGAUGAUUGAAAGAUGGUUUCGGCUAUCACUUACAGAUGGGCCCGCGGUGCAUUAGCUAGUUGGUGAGGUAACGGCUCACCAAGGCCACGAUGCAUAGCCGACCUGAGAGGGUGAUCGGCCACACUGGGACUGAGACACGGCCCAGACUCCUACGGGAGGCAGCAGUAGGGAAUCUUCCGCAAUGGACGAAAGUCUGACGGAGCAACGCCGCGUGAGUGAUGAAGGCUUUCGGGUCGUAAAACUCUGUUGUUAGGGAAGAACAAGUACAAGAGUAACUGCUUGUACCUUGACGGUACCUAACCAGAAAGCCACGGCUAACUACGUGCCAGCAGCCGCGGUAAUACGUAGGUGGCAAGCGUUAUCCGGAAUUAUUGGGCGUAAAGCGCGCGCAGGCGGUUUCUUAAGUCUGAUGUGAAAGCCCACGGCUCAACCGUGGAGGGUCAUUGGAAACUGGGGAACUUGAGUGCAGAAGAGAAAAGCGGAAUUCCACGUGUAGCGGUGAAAUGCGUAGAGAUGUGGAGGAACACCAGUGGCGAAGGCGGCUUUUUGGUCUGUAACUGACGCUGAGGCG